GACGUAGGGCGCGAGCGUUGUCCGGAUUUAUUGGGCGUAAAGAGCUCGUAGGCGGCUUGUCGCGUCGUUCGUGAAAACCUGGGGCUCAACUCCAGGCUUGCGGGCGAUACGGGCAGGCUAGAGUUCGGUAGGGGAGACUGGAAUUCCUGGUGUAGCGGUGAAAUGCGCAGAUAUCAGGAGGAACACCGGUGGCGAAGGCGGUUCUCUGGGAAUGUCCUGACGCUGAGGAGCGAAAGUGUGGGGAGCGAACAGG
rnacentral:rRNA from 1 species